rnacentral:piRNA from 1 species
UCCAGGAGCAAAACUUUCUCAAGUCGGCCUC